rnacentral:rRNA from 1 species
GACGGAAGGUGCAAGCGUUGCUCGGAAUCACUGGGCGUAAAGGGUGCGUAGGCGGCCGUGCAAGUCUGGCGUGAAAGCCCCGGGCUCAGCCCGGGAAGUGCGCUCGAAACUGCGCGGCUCGAGUGCCGGAGGGGAGAGUGGAAUUCCUGGUGUAGCGGUGAAAUGCGUAGAUAUCAGGAGGAACACCGGUGGCGAAGGCGGGUCUCUGGGCCGAUAUUGACGCUGAGGAGCGAAAGCGUGGGGAGCGAACAGG